rnacentral:tRNA from 1 species
UCUAUUGCUUAGUUGGUAAAGCACAAAGCUCUUAACCUUGUGGACGUGGGUUCAAGCCCUAUGAUAGAG